rnacentral:rRNA from 1 species
GACGAACGCUGGCGGCGUGCUUAACACAUGCAAGUCGAACGGAAAGGCCCUGCUUUUGUGGGGUGCUCGAGUGGCGAACGGGUGAGUAACACGUGAGUAACCUGCCCUUGACUUUGGGAUAACUUCAGAAACUGGGGCUAAUACCGGAUAGGAGCUCCUGCUGCAUGGGGGGGGGUGGAAAGUUUCGGCGGUUGGGGAUGGACUCGCGGCUUAUCAGCUUGUUGGUGGGGUAGUGGCUUACCAAGGCUUUGACGGGUAGCCGGCCUGAGAGGGUGACCGGCCACAUUGGGACUGAGAUACGGCCCAGACUCCUACGGGAGGCAGCAGUGGGGAAUAUUGCACAAUGGGCGGAAGCCUGAUGCAGCAACGCCGCGUGCGGGAUGACGGCCUUCGGGUUGUAAACCGCUUUCGCCUGUGACGAAGCGUGAGUGACGGUAAUGGGUAAAGAAGCACCGGCUAACUACGUG